rnacentral:rRNA from 1 species
AACGAACGCUGGCGGCAUGCCUAACACAUGCGAGUCGAACGAGACCUUCGGGUCUGGUGGCGCACGGGGGCGUAACGCGUGGGAACAUGCCCUUAGGUUCGGCAUAACUCCCCGAAAGAGGUGCUAAUACCGGAUAAUGUCUUCGGACCAAAGAUUUAUCGCCUUUGGAUGGGCCCGCGUUGGAUUAGCUAGUUGGUAGGGUAAAAGCCUACCACGGCGACGAUCCAUAGCUGGUCUGAGAGGAUGAUCAGCCACACUGGGACUGAGACACGGCCCAGACUCCUACGGGAGGCAGCAGUGGGGAAUAUUGGACAAUGGGCGAAAGCCUGAUCCAGCAAUGCCGCGUGAGUGAUGAAGGCCUUAGGGUUGUAAAGCUCUUUUACCCGGGAUGAUAAUGACAGUACCGGGAGAAUAAGCUCCGGCUAACUCCGUG